ACGAACUACACGAAAUUUGAGCGUCUUUUAGAGCUUCUACGGAGCUUUACGUCAUUUCGACCUUAUUAAAUUGGAUAUUGCCUGUUCUGUCCGAGUCGGCGAAUGCUUCCUAAGCUGGUCCAAAUGGUUUUGAUGCUUUGUCGAGGAUUCUUACUUUUCAGUUCGUCUCGACUUUUGUUCAGGACAGUUUCAAGAAGAAAGUGAGAACACCUCCAAAUCAAGAAAGUCAAGGAAGGAGAGAAAUACUCUGACAACGUCAAACAAGACUGACAGGCGAAUAUCUUUAAUGCUUCAAGCAAGAAUCACACAAGAAAGGCUAUGAUCCGAGUAAAAUAUACGAUUUCAAAAACAGAG